ACUCUGCCCGUUUGCGCAACUUUGUGGAGGAAAGCAAAAGCAAAAAAAAAGACGGAACGACGGCUCGCGCGCCUUCAGUGUGUGUUGCAAGGGUAAACCCUACUAGCAAUGAGAAUGUAAAAGUGUGCGUCUUUCAGGCGAGGGGCAUGUAGAAACAGGGGGAGACGGUUGGAAAUACGCGGAAUUACGCGGCGGCGAGAGCGUGUUUUGCUUUCUACACAGUUUUUGCACUCACACAAUCACACAUGUGUGAAUGUGUGCGUUCACUUUCAGCCAGCGCGCUCAGUUUGGUUUUCUCGCAGCGGCUUGCUGGUGUCGGUGUCUCGCUCGCACUAGUGCAGCGAGUGUUCCUCGUGCGUUCCCUUUCUUGCUACCACACAAAAUCGUCAGUACAGUUCAAGCCUUCGCAGUGUGAGGCCGCGCGCGUUUUAGCCUAAGUCCCGGGCGCUCGAUUAUUCAACAUACACAACAUACAGGCAGUAAGGCGGGUGCUUGAAGUGACGAUUUUUUUUUAAUAUUUAUAAUAAAAAAUAUGUGUGGUUUUGUGGCAAGAUUGUGGUUAGCGAUGUGUGGAACUGUGCCUUAAGUUUCAAUAAAGUGUUAAAAUAUCAAACGA